UGCAUCGACUGGGAAUCGAACCCGGGCCGCCCGUGUGGCAGGCGAGCAUUCCACCACUGAACCACCGAUGG
rnacentral:tRNA from 1 species